rnacentral:rRNA from 1 species
AUUGAACGCUGGCGGCAGGCCUAACACACGCAAGUCGAGCGGAAGGGGCUUCGGCCCCGAGAGCGGCGGACGGGUGAGGAUAGCGUGGGAAUCUGCCUGUAGAUGGGGGAUAGCCCGGAGAAAGCCGGAUUAAUACCGCAUAAUACCUAAGGGUUAAAGUGGAUGAUCGCAAGAAUUCACGUCUACAGAUGAGCCCACUUCAGAUUAGCUAGUUGGUAGGGUAAAGGCCUACCAAGGCGACGAUCUGUAGCUGGCCUGAGAGGGUGGGCAGCCACACUGGAACUGAGACACGGUCCAGACUCCUACGGGAGGCAGCAGUGGGGAAUAUUGGACAAUGGGCGCAAGCCUGAUCCAGCCAUGCCGCGUGUGUGAAGAAGGCCUUCGGGUUGUAAAGCACUUUAAGUUGGGAGGAAGGUUCCAAGGCUAAUACCCUUGGGAAUUGACGUUACCGACAGAAUAAGCACCGGCUAAUUCCGUGCCAGCAGCCGCAGUAA